UACAGAGGGUGCAAGCGUUAUCCGGAUUUACUGGGUUUAAAGGGUGCGUAGGCGGUCUGAUAAGUCAGAGGUGAAAGUUAAUCGCUUAACGAUUAAAUUGCCUUUGAUACUGUCAGACUUGAGUUAAGAUGAGGUUGGCGGAAUGAGACAUGUAGCGGUGAAAUGCUUAGAUAUGUCUUAGAACACCGAUUGCGAAGGCAGCUGACUGGACUUCAACUGACGCUGAGGCACGAAAGCGUGGGGAUCAAACAGG
rnacentral:rRNA from 1 species